ACGAAUCGAAAGCUUGCUUUUGAUUCGUUAGCGGCGGACGGGUGAGUAACACGUGGGCAACCUGCCCUGUAGACGGGGAUAACACCGAGAAAUCGGUGCUAAUACCGGAUAACACGAAAUGUCGCAUGACGUUUCGUUGAAAGACGGCGCAAGCUGUCGCUACAGGAUGGGCCCGCGGCGCAUUAGCUAGUUGGUGAGGUAACGGCUCACCAAGGCGACGAUGCGUAGCCGACCUGAGAGGGUGAUCGGCCACACUGGGACUGAGACACGGCCCAGACUCCUACGGGAGGCAGCAGUAGGGAAUCUUCCGCAAUGGACGAAAGUCUGACGGAGCAACGCCGCGUGAGCGAAGAAGGCCUUCGGGUCGUAAAGCUCUGUUGUUAGGGAAGAACAAGUAACGCAGUAACUGGCGUUACCUUGACGGUACCUAACGAGAAAGCCACGGCUAACUACGUGCCAGCAGCCGCGGUAAUACGUAGGUGGCAAGCGUUGUCCGGAAUUAUUGGGCGUAA
rnacentral:rRNA from 1 species